GAUGAAGAACGCAGCAAAAUGCGAUAAGUAAUGUGAAUUGCAGAAUUCAGUGAAUCAUCGAAUCUUUGAACGCACAUUGCGCCCGCCAGUAUUCUGGCGGGCAUGCCUGUUCGAGCGUCAUUUCAACCCUCAAGCACAGCUUGGUGUUGGGACUCGCGUUAAUUCGCGUUCCUCAAAUUGAUUGGCGUUCACGUCGAGCUUCCAUAGCGUAGUAGUAAAACCCUCGUUACUGGUAAUCGUCGCGGCCACGCCGUUAAACCCCAACUUCUGAAUGUUGACCUCGGAUCAGGUAGGAAUACCCGCUGAACUUAAGCAUAUCAAUAAGCGGAGGA
rnacentral:misc_RNA from 1 species